GUAGCGGCGAGCGAACGGGGAGCAGCCCAGAGUCUGAAUCAGCUUGUGUGUUAGUGGAACGGUCUGGAAAGUCCGACGGUACAGGGUGAUAGUCCCGUACACCAAAAUGCACAGGCUGUGAACUCGAAGAGUAGGGCGGGACACGUGGUAUCCUGUCUGAAUAUGGGGGGACCAUCCUCCAAGGCUAAAUACUCCUGACUGACCGAUAGUGAACCAGUACCGUGAGGGAAAGGCGAAAAGAACCCCGGCGAGGGGAGUGAAAAAGAACCUGAAACCGUGUACGUACAAGCAGUGGGAGCACCUUCGGGUGUGACUGCGUACCUUUUGUAUAAUGGGUCAGCGACUUAUAUUCUGUAGCAAGGUUAACCGUAUAGGGGAGCCGCAGGGAAACCGAGUCUUAACUGGGCGUUAAGUUGCAGGGUAUAGACCCGAAACCCGGUGAUCUAGCCAUGGGCAGGUUGAAGGUUGGGUAACACUAACUGGAGGACCGAACCGACUAAUGUUGAAAAAUUAGCGGAUGACUUGUGGCUGGGGGUGAAAGGCCAAUCAAACCGGGAGAUAGCUGGUUCUCCCCGAAAGCUAUUUAGGUAGCGCCUCGUGAAUUCAUCUUCGGGGGUAGAGCACUGUUUCGGCUAGGGGGUCAUCCCGACUUACCAACCCGAUGCAAACUACGAAUACCGAAGAAUGUUAUCACGGGAGACACACGGCGGGUGCUAACGUCCGUCGUGAAGAGGGAAACAACCCAGACCGCCAGCUAAGGUCCCAAAGUCAUGGUUAAGUGGGAAACGAUGUGGGAAGGCACAGACAGCCAGGAUGUUGGCUUAGAAGCAGCCAUCAUUUAAAGAAAGCGUAAUAGCUCACUGGUCGAGUCGGCCUGCGCGGAAGAUGUAACGGGGCUAAACCAUGCACCGAAGCUGCGGCAGCG
rnacentral:rRNA from 1 species